rnacentral:rRNA from 1 species
GACGAACGCUGGCGGCGUGCUUAACACAUGCAAGUCGAACGGAAAGGCCCUGCUUGUGUGGGGUGCUCGAGUGGCGAACGGGUGAGUAACACGUGAGUAACCUGCCCUUGACUUUGGGAUAACUUCAGGAAACUGGGGCUAAUACCGGAUAGGAGCUCCUGCUGCAUGGUGGGGGUUGGAAAGUUUCGGCGGUUGGGGAUGGACUCGCGGCUUAUCAGCUUGUUGGUGGGGUAGUGGAUUACCAAGGCUUUGACGGGUAGCCGGCCUGAGAGGGUGACCGGCCACAUUGGGACUGAGCUACGGCCCAGACUCCUACGGGAGGAAGCAGUGGGGAAUAUUGCACAAUGGGCGGAAGCCUGAUGCAGCAACGCCGCGUGCGGGAUGACGGCCUUCGGGUUGUAAACCGCUUUCGCCUGUGACGAAGCGUGAGUGACGGUAAUGGGUAAAGAAGCACCGGCUAACUACGUG